CGAGAACCCCGGAAAGAUUUACAUUGGAAAUACCAUACGAAAACAUGGUUUCCACUUAAGAUGUUAAAUGCGAGCGUCAACCUUUAUCAAGAGGAAUGAGAAUGGAUGGUAUGCAGGCCGGAAACUUUAGGAUUCCUGACUCCAUUAUAAAGCUCAAGACUCAAGACGGCUCCCUUGUUACUAGGAGAACCUAUAAUCUAUUUGUAUACCUCACAACCAUCGACAUAAUACGCAAACAAGAGGAAGCAGUGAAAGUACAACAAGACAAGUCAUACUACAAUAACAGACAACAAAAAUAACUUAAGGGAUAAAUAACAUUAUAAUUAAAACUAUAGUACUUAACACUAUUAAAAUACUAUGUAAAAGACAAAAAAUAUUUAGAUAAAUAU